AGGGGCCUUAGCUUAUGAGGAUUUCAUGGUGAGGGGUGUCAGAAAUGAGAGAGAAAAGGGGAAGAGGGACAGCAGGCCUUUGUAGAUCCAACCUGCACCACUCCAAGGGGGACUGGGGUGUCCCAACCCUGUCCUGGAGUGAGGAUGUGGGUGUUGGUGGGGCUGUGGAUGGAGACACUGGUGUUGUGAGGCUGGGAGGGCUGCGGGGCAAGCUGAACAGCAAACAUGAUAUGAGCAGCGUGCUGAUGGAGGAGCAGCUCAGUGCUGGUGGGGACAGGGAAGGCGUCCCUCUGUCUGUUCGGUGCUGUGUGUCUGUCAGAAGUGCUGCAGGGGAUGUCCCCAUGGGGAAGGGGCACCCACCGACAGCUGGGGGCUGCUGUGCAGCCAUUUCCCUUGGAAAAGGGUUUUAUAGACAGGCCUGAGAAGAAAGCUGUAAAGGGAGCAAAUGAAUCUGCUCUGAAAACUUUAUAGGGGAUACGUGAAUGCUACAGCUAGUUACUGGGCUUUGUUUUUGCUGGAAUUUAGGAAAAACCAAAGCUGCUUGGCUUCAAAGUAUAUUCUGAGUAAGACUUCUUGCAUCGUAAAUUAUUCUUAGAGAAACCUUACAUCAAAGGCAGGAAUCUGUGUUUCUAGCUUGAGCGGGAAGGGGAAAAUGCCUCUAAUAUAUGCUCCAACUCAGUUUCAGAGCUAGAGAGAGAACUCGUGUUUUAUUUGGUGAGUUCUUGCCUUACUUGAGCUUAUCUGGAUGGGAGGUUCAAAUGGCUGCUUGGAGGUACCAGGCUGUGCACAAUAUCCUGCGUUCCCUUACAUCUUUGCAGGGCAACGUGGGCUUGCUCCCUCUUCAAAGUGCAACAGGUUCCUUAAAAAAGAAAAAAAAAUGUUAGAGAAAUGCUAUUUUUUGGAGAUGCUCUUCUACAGAGCACUUCUAAUUGUGUUCUAAAUGUGUUAGUGACCCAGGAGGGGAAAUAUGCUCUUGCUACCUUUGGGUGUGAGAAUAAACCUGAUGCUGCUUGGGGCAGGAACCUUGGGUUUUGAUGACAUUGUGCAAGGAGUGUGCUGGGCUGCACGGGGAUGCAUCCCUACUUGCUGCAUGCUGGGGCUCUGUCCUCGGUGCUCCCUGUGCUCAUCUGAGAGUUGUGGCUCCUGCACAUGGUUAAUGGCUCUUGGCACUGGAAAGGAGCCUGUGGGCUUUGAGCUCUUCAGGGCUGGAAAAGCAUAAAUUAUGGAAAUCGAAGGCUGUCUCAUUCUCCAUCUCCUCUCCUUCAACAAGAAUAAUGAAACCUAGCUGAGACCUAGAGUGCAAGCAACGCAGUGGAGAAGUGCUGAUGCUUUAUAUCAUCCUGAACUGUUUGCAGUGCUCUGCCUGUGGGUGGUAUGUGGGCUUCCUCCUAGCUCGCUGUGCAUAAGAGCAGAGAAAGCAAGAAGGGAAAUGGCUUCAGGCAUGUUUGGUUUUUACACUGCUCCUUUCAUGGCAUGCUCUUUUCUUCUGGAGCUCCUUCAAGAGCCCCCGUGUCUGCCCUGAAAUACAGCGUGGUUGGGAAGCCAAGGAACUUGUGCUGAGCCCAUGCCUGAGCAGCACUGCUGCAGAGACCUGAGAAUUUGUCACCAAACACCAAAUCGAUGGGAUAAACAAAGAAAUGGGUCACUUGAGACACAAAUGUGCAGGGCUGUGCAGCAGCUCAGCAAACACAGCACAGGCAAGGACUGGACAAGCUCCUCCUGUGCAGAUGAACCCAAUGGUGGUGUGUUGCAGGAGAGUAAACUGCCGUCUCUUGUUCCCAGCUCAAAUGCAAGAGACUUAAUGAGUGUGAUGAGAGAGGGCAAAUAUUUACACUGAUGAGCUUGAGUAGGCAAAUAAACCAGGCUUUUAACAAAUGAGGCAAACAUUAUGCGCAGGCUCUAUCUAAUUUGAGGGAAAGUUUGUAUUUUGGGCCCGGGCCUCUAAAGCUGCUCUGUUCAUUCAACAAACUUCGGCAAAAUGUGUUGUCAAAGACCAUCAGAGACAAGGACAUUCAAUUAAGUCUGUGCAAACACCCACAUUAUUAGCAAUCCCAAAUUGGGAUGGAGAAAGGAAAGGCUUCUCGUUAGCUUUGCAGUCACAUUAGAUUAAAUUUGGCCUCGCUGGCAGGUUGAGACCAACUUUCCUGCUCUUGUGCAGCCCAAGGCAUGGUGACUCCCUCACCUCCCUGGGCAGCUGUGCCAGUGCCUCACUGCUCCUUCUGAGAAGAAAUUAUUCCUAAUAUCCAACCUGACCCUCCCCUGGCACAACUCAAGGCCAUCACCUCUUGUGCCUGUGGGACUCUGCCAGGGCCAGGCAGGUCAGCCUGCUGCCUCCAGAGCUUCAGUUUUGGAGAUCCCAUCCCAAAGAUCCUCCUUGCUCUAUCCUAGAUGGAUGGUAGGUCAAGCCCCAGAUCAGCAGCAAUUUGGCACAGGCAGCUCCUGCUUGCUGGGACUGCCCAAGCCUGCAGCCUAGAGUACAAACUAUUGAUCAGCGGGCAUUACCAGCUCAUUUAAACAGAUGGGCUUUUAGGAGUGAAUUAAAGGAAGUGUGGAACUAGAAAAGCAUGAAAAAUGUAUAUGAUUCCUCAAGCUAAUCACGGCAAUAAUGCAUGUUUACUGACAAGGCUUUCUUCACGUAGUGAGCAACCCCUAUUUAUCCAAUUUAUCCAUUUAUCUGGAAAGCAGAUAUCACAGUAAACAACGACUUGGAGGCAAGUCCACAGCCAUAAAUCAGCAUUUUUCUGAGUGCCGGGGAGGACGACAAACCUCUGUGUAAGAGCUCUGCACCACGAAUGGAAAUUACUCAGUGCUGACGCCUGAAAGGACACCAGCAGCCCUUGCGCUCUGUGCUGAAUUUUACUUCGAUUUCUACUUCAUCUACCAGGCUGUCUGCCUGGUGGGAGAGCAGUCUAUUACAAAGGGGAGGGUCCUGUUUGGGUCAAAAGAAUGCAUUUUUAGGAAUGCGUGUUUCAAGGCCAAGCCUGCUGGUGAUCUGUGCUUGCAACCUCUGUUAUGUACUGAAAGAUUUGUUAAGAAGACAUGGAAAAGGGUGAACCAGGAUGGGAGAUGCGAUGAAAAGCCUAUUCGUUAUCUCAGCAACAUGAGACACAUCUCACUAGAUUGGUUUCCGUUCUAAAGAGCAAAACAAAAUCAUUCACUUCUUGCCUUUAAUGGUGGUGUUGAUGGAGACAGCCAACAAUUUCCUCUCCCCAUCGAUUUGGAUUAUGAAUUCUCAUCUGGGUACUGAGUCCAAUUUUUGUAAGACACAUUUAACCCAUGGGACAGUGGAUGUCAGACUGAACUGAGCUCUUCCUCACCGCUGUCCUCUGGUGCUCUGUGCUCCAGUUAGCUGCCUACAAUGGAUUUCAAAUUAAUUACAGCACCACGGAUCAACCUUUCCCAUUUUUUUUUUCUCCCACAUGCUGCCACGUGUCCAUGGACAGCCCACGUUCUCUGGUAAGCUUUCUGGCAGCCUUUGAGCCUCACGCUGAACACAUGAGAGCAUUUAGCGAGCUACAUUUCACUACAAAACGUGUUCCUGGGUAGCGCUCGCUCAUAAGCAUGUCAUUGAUGUUCCCCAAGCGCCAGCCUUGGCAGAUGUGUAAUGGGAGAGAGGCUGCUAACACUCCAGCUUCCCUCCAGGAUGCUGCUUGGGCUCAGGAGGGAGUGAUGCGGCACAUGUGUCAGCCUUGCAAAUGUGUGCUGCUGAAUGCUGGGUGGUCUGCCCUGAGAUGGGAAGAGCUGGGUCCCCAGGAUGAGAAAAGCCACUUGCUUGGCCUGGUGACCUGCUGAAACCUGGCACAGCUGUGGUGAGUGGGUUACGGCAGCUUUCUGAGGAAGGUGAGAUAAAAGGAGGGAGACUGCCAGCAUGGCUCCAUGACAGCUUCUGCUUCUGUGUGAGGUUGAUGAGCUAAAGAGAUCUGGGGAUGGAAGCCCUCAAGACAGUCCUGAUUGGGAGUAUCUCCUCCCACGCUUCCAACAUGCUUGUGCCCAGCAGCCAUCACCUGGAGCACUAUGUCCAGAUGUGGAGUCUUCAAUUCAGGAGAGACACGGACCUGUUGGAUUGCAUCCAGAGGAGGGUCACAAAAAUGCUCCCAUGGAUGGAACACCUCUCCUACAAGGACAGGCUGAGAGAGCUGGAUCUGUUCAGCAUGGAGAGGAGAAGGCUCUGGAGAGACCUGAGAGCUGCCUGUCAGUAUCUAAAGGGGGUCUGUAAGAACAGACAGACUCUUGACUGGGGUCUGCUGUGAUGGGACAAGGGGAAAUGGUUUCAAACUAAAAGAGAGGAGAGUUAGAUUGGAUAUAAGGAAGAAGUUUUUCAUGAUAACUGUGGUGAGGCACUGGCACAGGUUGCCAAGAGAGGUGGUGGAUGCUCCACCCUUGAAGACACUCAAGAUCAGGCUGGACAAGGCUCUGGGCAUCUGAUGCAGCUGUGGGUGUCUGUUCAUUGCAGGACAGUUGUGCCAGAUGGCCUUUAAGGGUUCUGCCCAACUCAAAUGAUGACUCCAUGAUUCUCCUCUUCUGGACCCUUUCCAGCCUGCCCAUCACAGACCCUCCUUCCUUCUGUCCUUCCUCCUGGUUCCUGCAUCGCUGUUCUCUCUCAUACCUCACAUCCCUAAGGAUUUACCUUCCAGUCACAAAUAGAUCUCUACAGGAAGGGUGUAAACUGGCAUUUUCAGCAGUUAAUGGUUCGGACUACCGGGGGAGGGGGUGGGUGGGUGGGGAGGGUGGGGUAUUUUCAAGACUCCACCCUCAACCUCAGCUGCUCUGCCAAACUGCAUGGGGUUUUUCCCUGGGGACACGGAAGCUCCUCAAGGUUGUAAAACUGUUUAAACACAAUGAGGAGAGAAAAAGUUUUUGCUUACUUCACUUUUCAAGGAAAGCUGAAGCCUGCCAGGCGCUCAGCCAAGGGAGCCACAGCCCAAAGAAGUGAAAUGCAGCAAAAUCAUAAGCAGGUUUUGUACAGCAGAUUGUCAGGAAACUGGAAAUAGCAAUGUUGGUUCCUGUCCCACAUAAUAACAAACAGUAAUAAUUGUGUCCCCUAUAUGUGCUCACAUUUGCUCUUUCUCUCUCAGAAACCAGCAUUUAAAAAGGAUAGAUUAUGAAGAUACGUUCAGAAAAUAAGAAUUCUGCAAUCAUUAUUAUUAUAUAUUAUUCAUAUAAUGGCAACACCCUAAGUUGUCUCAGCACUGUGCAGAAAGAGAGGAAGAUAAAGCCUCCGGCCCAAAGAAACUUCUAAAUGAAUGGAAAUAAGGUUUGGAUCUGUGUGACUGUGUGUGUGUGUGCAUAUAAUUUUUAAGCAUUACUGAAGAAACUGUAGGGGGAAAAUUGAAUUAUACAUCAGCUUAUUCACCAACAGGAAAAAAAAAAAAUGGGCAAGCCUGCAUGCUCUUGAUAACAUUUUAAUAAUUUACAAACUCAAAUUUCACCCUGGGAGUGACUUUCAUGGGAAGUAAGAAAUCCUGUGACUGUAAACACAGCUGGAAGUCAGUGGAAAAUCGGGGCAGAAAAUCCCCUCUGCAUGGGGAAGGGGGACGGCUUGUGCUGGCUGUGGGGAUGGGUGCCCUGUAGGAAGGGAUGUUGGGAUGGAGCAAAGCAUCGGGGCCUUCAGCCCUAUGGUUACACUCCUGCUGCCACCUCCUGCCUGUUAUUUCUGUUCUCCUGGGGCAUGCACGUGCUCCACGUGCAAGGUGCAGAAGUUCCCUGCAAACACAAGGAUGAGGGUUGUUGCACCCCCAGCACUGCCCUCACCACCCUUGGCAAUGCUUCCAUGCGAUCACAGCUACUCUCUGUUUGCUUUCUAUUUCUUGGGCUGAAUCUCGGUGAUUUUGGAAGCCCAGCAGGCGGCACAGCCAGGAGUUGGGAUGCCAGGGGCAGAGUGUAUGGAAGCACCACCUGCUAGGUGGCACCAAGCUGUCCACGUCCUCCAGUAGGCACCUCCCCAUUGCUCCUGCUGAGGGCAGGCAGCUGGUACUUCUGUUCAGGAAGCUCUGUUGGAAAAUGCCUCCUGUGAAAGCCACCUUGGCAGGGGAAGUUGGGCGGCUUCAUUCAGCUGCACAGAGUGCUUCUUUCUCCUUCCCCAUUCAUAUGGAUGCCAGACAAACUCACGGCCCUCUAUCCCCUCUGCUUAGUGUCCCCAUCAUGUCGCUGGGGCAGUUCCAGACAUGGAGCCUGCACAGGUUCUUGUUGAAUGCAAUGUGCUGUCCUACGCUCCUCACAGGGAAGCCAUGGCACAGCAUCCCUUGGCCAAGCUCUCCCAUCCUGGCAUGGGGACUGCUGUAGAAGGAAGCAGAAGCAGAUCCAGCCUGAGAGGGCAGCAAGGCUGGAAUAUCGGCCAAGGAGAGCCACCUGCAGCUUCCACCUAACAGAGAGCGGCCACGUGCCGGGAGAAUUCAAGGUCACAGCCAACUCAGCUCUCUGCUUUGCUAACCGUGGAGCUCCCCUCAUUCAUUGGCAACGGCAUUAUUAGCAAUGUCCCUCAGAGCACUGUCGGAUGCUGGUAUCUCUUUCUGCCCUGUAGAAAGGCCGCUGGCUUUAUUCAUAGAUGAUGGCCCUGGUUGACAUUCCCCGUGCCUUCUGCUCCGGGAGCAGAGCAGGACCUGGGCUCUGGGAGCCACUAGGUGUCAGGGUUACUCUGCCACAGCCGCACUGCCUGCCAGAUGUGGCACAGCUGGCCCUGCGUAGGGGGAGACGGGUCCCCCAGGGUGCUGGAAGGCACAGCGGGAACCAAGGGAAAGCCCAGGGAAAAGUGGGAUGAAGAGCUUGUCCCCAUGCGGGACAGCAUGGAGCACUCCCUCCCUCCCUCUGGAAACAACAGGCGCAUCUGGUUUGUCCAAUGAACCAUUGGUGCUGGAGGAGCCCCACCUCAAAUGGUCAGAAGCUGGUUUCCCAGUCAGGGAAGUGCAUUCACAGCCAGGGUGGGUUUGGAUUAGCAGAUGGCCGUACAUCAAACCAUCACCCCAAUCCCCAUCUCGCCACUGCUGGGACUGUGAGCACCGUGAGCCCACCCCACUCCUUGCCUGGGAAAACUCAGCACCACUCAACCCUUCAGCCCCCCUCUUCCCUGCUUAAUUUCCUCAACACCAAAACCCGCUGUUUUGAGGAGAAAAAGAAGUCAGAAAAUGCUCAUAUUUUACAAAGACCUCUUUUUUUUUUUCCUUGUACUUAAAAGCAAUGUAAAACGUGGCAUUUAGGUAAAACUGCACCAUUUUCUGAAAAGUACCAGUUGUUUUAUUAGAUUUAUUCUAAUAGUGCAAGCUGAGUUCAUCUCAUAAAUAAGGAUUAUAAAAAGCUCAUUUGAAUGUAUUAGAAAUGAAAGGAACUUAUUUUAUUAUAAGCAGGAGAAAUGCAGCAGUGUCAGCAUGAGUGGAAGAGCUUCUCUUUCCCUGCAGAAACCUACUGCCAGGCUGGAGUUAAACAGCAGACACAGCAGUACCUGGGUGCUGGUAGGUCAGCUGCUCAGCUGCUUUGUGGCCUUUAUUUUCCAGGGUUGGCACCCAGAUACUUUAGGAAAUGGUCCCAGACCCUCAGUGUAUGUAUAUUUUCUUGCCCCACUUUGAGACUCAUAUUGACCUUUGGAAGAGAUAUGCAGCUUCAUAUCACUUACAAAACCUUUUCAGCCAUGGUUAUGGCAAUGGUGGGCUUCUGACUACUCACAUAAUGCCUGAGCUCUCUUUAAUCUUGCAAUGUUUUUGGGCUGAAAGACUUUCUGUGGUGAGAAAUCCCACACACUAAUUACACUGGCUAUGAAAAUUUAUUUUCCCUUUAUCAGUUUGAAUUUUCCACCUUUAUGGGAAAAUGGGUUAUUUAUUAGGAAAAGAUAACUCCAUGGCAUUUGCAGUUACAGCCUCUCAGAUCACCUUUUCACUGGAAGAAUCAACAAUUAAAGUUGGCUCUGAGUUACAUCACUACUUAGUCAUGAUAGAUAUGCAAUUUCAUAGUUUUCAUUAUAGAAAAUAGGCACCAAAGUACAUCAAUAAACUACAUAAUGUGAAGGAAUACUGAUAAAAGCAUGCUAUUAGAUUCAUUAGUGCUAAUCAGAAAGAAAGCAUCUAUAGUUACUCAUUGAUAAUAUUCGGUAAGAAAAAAUGGUUUUCUAGUGUGACUGAUUUUCAGUGAUAUGGGAUGGCUGAGAAGAGAGUCCAAAAGCAAAUGUCAGACCUGCCUCACUCACUGAGCACUGCUGCUAAAGCAAGGAGAAAACCCUUAGAUGAGAUCAUACAAUUAGCAUUUUUAUUGUAGACGAGGUCAAGAGAGAGUAGAGUGGCAGCAGAUGAGGAGUAAGGAACGGAGAAGACGGUGAAGGUCUGGAUGAACAUUUAUGGAUAAGACAAGAAGGUAUCUUUGGAUGGGCUCCAAUUCAACAGUUUGUUGCCAUUUUAGUUUGAGGUACAGCUCAUGAAUUGGUCAUGGAAGAUGGCCAUGUUGUCUAACCAUGUGAGAUUGGAGGGGAAAAAAGUUAAUGUAGAUCUCCCCCACAUUCACUGGGGUAAAUCUGGGGAAACCUAGGAAACCAGUAACCAACUUACUGGAAAAAUUGGGGACCUCAAAGUUAGGAGGCAGUCUGAAAGCUGUCUGACAAGUAACAGGGAAAAUAUAUCUGCAAAAAAGUUCAGAUAAGACAGGAUGAGUAACCGCCUCUAAAAAUAUAUGAGCAGUAAGCUGAGAACCCACAGAAGGGAUAGGAAAAUGACUGCUCAUCAAAGAGAGAUACGACACAGGUCAGGGAAAAUGAAAAUUGAGAAAUUCAAACUGAACUGAAACUUGCAAAUUAUAUUAAAACCUCUAACAGAAGUCUGUCUCUAGAGCUUCGGUUCUUCCUUGUUCUUACCUUGUGUAGCUAGAGAUUGUAGUUAAUCUGAGUAGGACCAAAUAGAAAAUGAAUGUGUUUCUAGGGAUUACGUUGAAGAGUGAAAUGAAGGCAAAGUGGGUCUGCAAGGGUGGAAAUGAGCUGGAAGCAGAUAGAAAACCUCAGUGCAACCACAUUGGUGGGAUGAGGUGGGAGACACCUGAACUCCAAGGCCCUUCCUGUGCUGCUGGAGGUCUCCCAGCAAGGGCUGGAUGUUCAUCUUGCUGGGGCAUCAUCCAACCGGAGAGCAAAGGCAGUGUCUGCGUGUUUGAAAGAGGGAAGCAGUGACUGGAACAACUACAGGCACAGCAGUGUGAGUGAAGUCCUAUGUGCAGCUGUAGAGCAGGAGGGAAAAAUCAGUGAUUUGGAAGAACAUGGAAAACCAAGGAUAAAUAGAACAUAGGUCAACUCAAGCUAGAAAGCCUUCCUACCAGCCUUGCCUAAAGCUGAGCACUGCUGAUACCACACGGUGCUUUCUGAUGGUGAAGGAGACCCCUCCAGGACCAACAAACCAGAUAAUCUGACAGCAGCGGCCGUCCUCUGCUCCAAGUGCUCUUCCCACCUCUUUGCUUUCAACAAGAGCCCUCCGUGCAAUGAGCCACGAGACCUGCACCUGGAAAUUAAAGCAAGGCUUGUUUGUACUUUCUCACAAAGGCACCGGGGUCCCUCCCUCUGGCUGCUGCCCCUUGGCACGUGGCUGUGUCAUUCUAUUUCACUAUGACAAACACCACAGUCGGGCAUCACCUCGCUCCAUAGGUACCAGUGUCAUCUGGUACCGUGGUGAGUUCAGCUUGGAGCCUGUUGGCUUAAUUGCAGUGGGGAGGACAGAUGUUGGCAGAGGCAUCUGAUUGAAAAGCAUACAGAAUUUAGCCAGACUGCAGGAUUUCUCUGUGGUACGGACAAAUAUUGACUGGGGCUCCUUCCAACAGCCUCCUCUCUUAAUAGAUGCUCCAACAUCGAACAUGAGCGCUGACAAACUGGUGCAAUUACUCACCACGUUACUAAUCACACCAUUUCCCUCCCCUCGUUAUUGAUUUUGGAAACAUUGUUUGAAAAGAGAGAGAGAGAGAGAGAGAAAGAAAAAAAAAAAAGGCCUUCAUUGUGUAAUACCUAAAUGGAAAUUUAAUCCCCCUUCCAUCCACCAUUCCCUCUCUGCAUUUAUUUUCAAGACACAUUUUGAUUGUUUUGUUUACUGCUCACUGUGUUUAUGAUUAUUUUAAUAGAAAGUGUUAUGCGAUACAUUUUGUAUGAAGGUCACUGCGUAGACAUUCUCAAUAAAUGCUUUAUUCUAGC
rnacentral:lncRNA from 1 species